UCCCUCUUAGCUCAGUGGUAGAGCGCUUCACUAGUAUCAACUGAAGAUGUGACUAUGAAGAGGUCAGUCGUUCAAGUCGGCUAGAGGGAA